ACUAAUUUAUUAUCAUGUACACAGGCAAAUAAGCAUAUUUAUGAUGCUUAAGGUGUGAAAUACUGUCCUAAUCAGUUUUGUGGUCACUCAAACUCUUGCUGUCGUGCAAUUCCCAUGCAGUUUGUAUCGAUUAUUCCGCGUCCUGACACGUAAAGCUCGUGCUCUGUUGGCAGCAGAAGUUGGCACUCAACAUGUUUAUCCUUGUUCCUGAGCAUGUAUGCAGCACAGCUGAGUUGAUUUGCUACUUGUUACCCUACAAUUAGCUUGUGUUUGGUACUGUUUUCUCACAAUAUGCUUACAGUCAUGGUUCCGGCUUGAGAAGAUGUCGCGUCCAACUUAAACAUAGGAUUGUUGUAGCGAGUGUCCCCUUCAUCGUUUACAUUAGAGGGAUCUUUUUGACAAAAUUUGGCACUUUCGGCAACCAGUUUUGUUUUUUAUUUGGUAAAUGCUUCUCUCAUUCAGUGAUUUAAGGGCAGUAUUGACUUUAUUUGCUUGUCUUUGCAUACAGAGGUGACAUGGAUCAAUGAUGUUUGUUGUGUUGAGAAUUCUGCGGGAAGCUGUGUCCCCAAAAGAAGUACUAGAAACCCCUUUCAGGCAGCCUGCAUUGAUCUGAGCUGCCUUUCUGCCCCUGUUACUACAUGGAACCUCAUUUCUGAGCUUAAAAUGCUUGCCUACAUAUAUGUAUCUUGUUCAUUUUAACCUUUCCGUCCAUUCUAUACCCCCGAAAUGAGCAUUUUUUCUUUCGCUUGGUUAUGAAUCCCCAUUUUUUACCCAGAUUGCCACCAUAAAAACAGUCAAAAGUACUUAUUUUGUGCCAAAAAUAUGAAAUUUUGUAUUCUAUUGAACCUCUAAAUGAGAGCUGGUAAUGCAUAUUGACCAUCUGCUGCAGUUUAAAGGCACCCAUGACAUUAAAUGCUAGGAUAUAUCAUUGGCCUCUGGCAAAUAAAUGGGCUCCGAGCGACAAGGCGCGUUUCAAGAUUUCACACUUUUAUUGGUGCUAAACAACAAGUUAUUGGAAGCUUAUUGAUUUCUUCUCUUCAAAGUAUCUUUGAUCUCUCAUUUGUACUAAUUUGUUUAUUUUCUUGGAUGAAAUUGGAUUUUCUUUGCUUUGAAAUUGACAUUUUUGGGGUGAUUUAAAAAAAAAACCCACAAAAUUGACAUUAUCAAAAUUGCUUAGAGUGAAAAUAUCUAACAAAGUCAUUCUUUCACCACCCCGCAUAAGCCCCACGUGCAUGUCCAUUUGGUUUGUUUUGGUAUUUUGUUGCAGAUAUUGAACUUAGCACAUUUAAAUCUUAAAGGGACAUUUAAGCUUUAACAGGCCUAAAAUCGCCUUCUUUGGACCGAAAACACCCGCGUGUGAAAAUAUGAAAAAAAAUGGCCAAAUGGACAGAUAAUCCAGCCAAACUUAUUAUAUGUGUGCAAUAUGAAUAGGAAGAUAAGAAUAUGCAAGAAAAACACAUUUUAAUCAGAAGAUAUUUUUCCUUUAGGUUACAAUAUACUAAAUCUUUUUGGAGUGCAAUGCUAUACUCUCUAAAAACAUGAACAUCAUUUAUUUGAAGACACGGUUCUCUGUAGGGUCACUUGCCAUGACUUUAUUUGAGUAUAUUUCUGUGUGCAUGUGGCAGGGAAAACAUUGUUGUUUACUAGAAAUUCACUCUUUUAUCUGAAGAUUGGAGACUACAUAAGACUUUGACAGAUGGCGGGAAACCCUCAUGAACUGGAUAGAAGCCGGUAGAGGAAUGUCUGCGACUAAGCCGAGGGCCACUGGAUAAGGGUUGUUGAUGGUAAAACAGGUAGAGGAAUGUCUGCGACUAAGCCGAGGGCCACUGGAUAAGGGUUGUUGAUGGUAAAACAGGUAGAGGAAUGUCUGCGACUAAGCCGAGGGCCACUGGAUAAGGGUUGUUGAUGGUAAAACAGGUAGAGGAAUGUCUGCGACUAAGCCGAGGGCCACUGGAUAAGGGUUGUUGAUGGUAAAACAGGUAGAGGAAUGUCUGCGACUAAGCCGAGGGCCACUGGAUAAGGGUUGUUGAUGGUAAAACAGGUAGAGGAAUGUCUGCGACUAAGCCGAGGGCCACUGGAUAAGGGUUGUUGAUGGUAAAACAGGUA